UGACCUCGGAUCAGGUAGGAGGA
rnacentral:rRNA from 1 species